CAAUGCCCGAAAGGGUGACGAAGCGACGCCGCGUGGGUGAGGAAGGCCUUCGGGUUGUAAAGCCCUGUCAGGAGUUAUGAAAUGUAAGUGCGCUAAUAUCGUGCUUAUUUGACAAAGGCUCCAAAGGAAGCCACGGCUAACUCUGUGCCAGCAGCCGCGGUAAUACAGAGGUGGCGAGCGUUGUUCGGAAUUAUUGGGCGUAAAGAGCACGUAGGUGGGUUUGCAAGUCAGAUGUGAAAGCCUUCUGUUCAACGGAAGAAUUGCAUCUGAAACUGCUAAUCUUGAGUAUAGGAGGGGAGAAUGGAACUUCUGGUGGAGCGGUGAAAUGCGUAGAUAUCAGAAGGAACGCCGGCGGCGAAAGCGAUUCUCUGGCCUAUUACUGACACUCAGUGUGCGAAAGCUAGGGGAGCAAACGGGAUUAGAUACCCCGGUAGUCCUAGCCGUAAACGAUGGGCACUAAGUAGAGGGGUUUUA
rnacentral:rRNA from 1 species